UUGCAUGAAAAACCUCUGUGUUAUGAUUUUAGGUAGGUUUUCGGCUCGCAUGCAGAACACUCUCAGGAGAUGAAAAGAGAAGUAAAUAAAGAUUCUUGAACAAACAAGAAAAUGUGAAUGAAUGAGCUCUUCUCAGGGUUUGACUGGAAGCCGGGAACAACAAACCUUCUGACCAGGUGAGCAUUGUGGAGCUGGGAUCCUUCUCCAGUCAGCGAAGAGGCGGUUCUGUUCUGAAGUGCAGUUUAGAACAGUGAUGGUAUUUGACCAGAUGUUUCUGCAAUUACGGAUGUAGUUUUGAACAGAAGUAACUGAUUUCUUUCUCAACUGCAAGGAAAAGCAGAGGUUGAUAACCGAGAGAGAUGUGUGUGUUGUGAGCACAAUCAACCCAGGGUAUGGUUCCAUUCAGAUGGACUUGUGGAAGUAAGGCAUUUAAGGGUGGAUUCCAGUUCUUGAUUCAUUCGUUCGGACUGUCCGUUGGAUUGUGGAUGAUAACCGGAUGGCUCCGAUGGCUGAGCAGAAUUGUUUCCAGACUUGUGAAAUGAACAGAGGACCUUGGUCUGAUAGGAUUUCUUGUGGGAUGUCAUGAAGACAGAAGACAUGUUUGAUAAGGAGUUGGGCGGUCUGGAAUGUGGUGGGAAGUUUUCUGAGGGGAAUAAGGUGACAAGCCUUAGAAAAAUGGUCGAUAAUGGUUAAGAUGGUGGUCAUACCUUUGAAUACGAGGAAUUCUGUGACAAAGUCUAAAAGAUGUGGCACCAGGGUCUCUUGGGGAUGGCCAGAGGUUGGAGCAGACCGUAUGGUGAUGAGAAGAUUUGUUGCAGGCACCGAUUGAACAGGCAAGGAUGUAUUCUCUGACAUCUUAAUGAAUUGAUGGCCACCAGAAGUGGUGAUUGAUGAGAGCUGUAGUUCUACUGAUUCUGGGAUGAGCAGAGAAUUUGGCAGAAUGGAACCAGUGGAUGACGCCGGCUCUGAUUGAGGCGGAUGCAUACGUAUGGUUAGGUGGGCAAGUUUUAGGACCUGGUUUGGACCGUAGAGCUUGAUUAAUGACGUCUUCUAUUUUCCAGGUGAUGGUGGCUGUGGAGCAGGUGGGCGGAAGAAUUGGAGAAGAUUCUUUCACAGAUUCAUCAGCCAUCAAGAACUGCAGAAGGUUGUUAAUCACUCACAGAUUCAGUCCAGGAGAGGCAGAAGGGAAACACCUAAAACAUGUAAGGCAGGUGAGCUGAAACACUAAUCUAAACCUGCUAAUCAAUGAUUCAGUCUGUUGAUUCUUGAUUGGUAACUGGUUAAACUGAACUGGACUAUUACUACUUGUGCAGGAUCAUUAUCAGCAUAUGGACAUUUGUGAAUUAAUUUAAUCGUCAAUUUAUUUGGAAAUGUUUGUGGUUAAUGGAAGAUUAUACCAGUUAUUUGAUGGAAGUUUAUUCUGUAUAUAUUGUAAAUAAUUUGUCCAACUACAAUGUAAAUCACAUUUUGCUCUAUUUGUCUGUCUCUAUUGUGUUAAAUCAACCCUGAUCCUCCCUGAGUUUUAUCUUUAGGUUUUCUGAUAAACAGCCUUUAUUUUAAAUAUUGAUUUUCCUCAUUUUAACAUGAGUGCAGCAUCAUAAAUGGUACGCUGUGCUGCAGCUUGACAGGCAAAUGUGAUUAUAUAUGUCAACUAACAUUAAAAUACAUAUUCAUUAAUAUUCAUUAGUGUGUCCUUAUUAAUUUAACUGUGAGUGUACAAGGGGAACCAUCAGGUUUAUGUGCUUGUUCUCAGACCUAUAACCAGUACACUACUUAACUUUCAAUGUGUUUCAAAACUUUUCAAAUGUUUAUCAUCUUUCUAAUUGGCCCAAACCAGUGCCUUCCUCUCUCUUAUUUCAGUUUUUUUCAGGUGCUCAUUAGAAGUUUAACCCAAAGAUGACUGAGGAGGAUGGCAGCGAAAACUGUAAAGAAGUGUCUUCAUUACACACCAGAGCAGGAGGAAGGAACCAACCAGAGUCAUUCUUAGGCACCAAAAUUCAUACUGUUUCCCUUUUUCCUACAGUACAAAGCUAAAACUCAUGGAUGCUGUUCUUCCAUGGACAAUAGAAUGAUGUUCUGACUGUCAAAAAGGAGUUCAAUAUGUUUACAGAUCUAUGCUGUUUUCUUAAUAAAAUGUAAUAUUAAUGCCA